GAAAGGACUGAAUAAGACAGAAGGAGAAGUGCAUUUCAGACAAGGGGACCCCCUCCAAAGUGUGUUUGUUUUGAAGGCUGUGAAUAGCCAGGACUGACUCAUAGAGGCAGACAAUAGGGAGCCAAUGAAGGUUUAUGAGUGAGGUGAUUAUAGAUAUUCAAUUCUGCUGCAGUGGAUAGAAGGUUUUCCUAUCAGAACCCCGACUCAAUUGUCAAUGAGAGCUGUUUUAGUAGGCAGCUCCCUGGUGUAGGGAACAGAUAGUGAGACUCGAGUCCUACAAAUGGAUGGGCAGAGGGCAUGGUAUUUAUCGGUGGGAUAGAUCCCCUUAGCAACAGAAAGUCACCUGCUCAUCCCCUGCCAGUGGAAGAACCCAGGAACAAAGGAAUCCUCAAGGAUAUUCGGGGUAUGGGAGAAAAAGGGAAGGGGGACAUUCAUUCCCGACAGUGUCAAUGUGAGCGGUCCCACCAUUUGAUCACGUGUUCCUUCAAGGAUUCUAGACUCGCCAGGAUAGCAUCAAUCUUUUCCAAGGCAGCAGGAAAAAUAUCAUGACAACCCAGUCUAGGUCACUGUUCUUUUUAGUGGGGUCCAGGGAGGGUGGGGACUGGGAGGUGGACUCUAAGGUAAAAAUAAAAGGUACCCUCCCCUACGGAAGAUGUACUCCUCCAGCCGCAGGUCUGAGUUGUUAGGGACUAAACCUCUGGGUUCAAAAUAACCAUCCCGCAUGAGUACAACCCUGGAAAUGCCAGGGUCUGCCUGCAGUCUCUGCCUCCCAUCUCCCCUGACCCCUCUGCAGUGCCCCUAAGGGGUUUCACUCCAUGUGGGAUCCUCACCAGGAUCAGGGCAGGGCACAGCUUGGGAAGAAGCCCCUGUCCCUCCUCCUAAUCAUGGCAUACAAACUGCAUGGUUUCAACCAAAUCCAGGUUUUUCUUUAGAAACCAUGGAACUUAAAAGGUGUUGAGUCCUGGACAGGAAGAGAUGUUUAUAAGCCCUUCUAUCUUUGUCAAUCAAGGGUGCCAUGCCCAUGGGAAGAAAUGACCCCAGAGACGACUCCCACAACCAAAUCUCUGGAAUUCUAAGGAGAGCCAUCCUGAACUGGGCUCGAGAACUCCAUUAAGGAUGGGGAGGGAGGAUGCCAUGGAGGCAGAGGCAGCAGAAAUAGAAGAACGUUUCCAUUCUUAGAACAGGGGGCUCUCAGGUGGGGCGUGGUGGCUCACACCUGUAAUCCCAGCACUUUGGGAGGCUGAGGUGGGCGGAUCACCUGAACUCAGGAGUUCGGGACCAGCCUGGCCAACCUGGUGACCCCAUCUCUACUAAAAAUACAAAAAUUACCCUGGCAUGGUGGCGCACACCUGUACUCCCAGCUACUUGGGAGGCUGAGGCAUGAGAAUCACUUGAACCCUGGAGGCAGAGGUUACAGUAAGCUGAAAUUGUACCACUGCACUCCAGCCUGGGAGACAGAGCAGGAGUCUGUCUUGAAAACAAAAACAAAAACAAAAACAAAAGAAAACAGAAGAACAGAGGGACUCUCCCACCACUUAGGCAUUGUUGUUGUUGACUAAAGACAACAAUUAAGCUUUUAAAGAAUUAAAGUUAGUUUUAUUCAGAAGUCUUAAUGAGGACAAUAGGCUGAGACCUAGGGCCCAGAGCAGAUGGGUCAGAUUGCUCCAAAGCAGUUUCAGCCACAGCUUAUAUGCAAGUGGCAGGGGUUGAGUAUGUGCAAAAUCACAUCAAAGUUUGGAUGUGAGAGUACAUCUGGUUCUAGAUGACUAAAGUACCUCUGGGUAGAGAUUGUAACAGCAUAAUAACUAACCCUUUCAGACAUUAUUUUAUGUGCAGGCAAAGGCAAAGGUUCAGGUCAUUUAUCUUUUCAAGGAUGUAGUGACUCAGGGAGAGACGUGGGUGGCUGUCGGCUCUGUCCUGCUUUGUCCUCAAGGCAUUGUUCCAGAGGACUGCAUUUCAUCACAUGAGGGGUUCAAGCAGGAAUGAGCAAACAUGGCUUUUUAUGUUUGCUAUCUUGUCUCACGAUUGUCAUUAAAAAAAAAAAAAAGAAAAAAAAAG
rnacentral:lncRNA from 1 species